rnacentral:rRNA from 1 species
CAAUAGCGUAUAUUAAAGUUGUUGCGGUUAAAAAGCUCGUAGUUGGAUUUCUGCCGAGGACGACCGGUCCGCCCUCCGGGUGAGCAUCUGGCUCGGCCUAGGCAUCUUCUUGGGGAGCGUAUCUGCACUUCAUUGUGUGGUGCGGUAUCCAAGACUUUUACUUUGAGGAAAUUAGAGUGUUUCAAGCAGGCCCACGCCUUGAAUACAUUAGCAUGGAAUAAUAAGGUAGGACCUCGGUUCUAUUUUGUUGGUUUCUAGAAUUGAGGUAAUGAUUAAUAGGGAUAGUUGGGGGCAUUCGUAUUUAACUGUCAGAGGUGAAAUUCUUGGAUUUGUUAAAGACGAACUACUGCGAAAGCAUUUGCCAAGGAUGUUUUCAUUGA